GACGAACGCUGGCGGCGUGCUUAACACAUGCAAGUCGAACGGUAAGGCCCUUCGGGGUACACGAGUGGCGAACGGGUGAGUAACACGUGGGUGAUCUGCCCUGCACUUCGGGAUAAGCCUGGGAAACUGGGUCUAAUACCGGAUAGGACCCUGGGAUGCAUGUCCUGGGGUGGAAAGCUUUUGCGGUGUGGGAUGGGCCCGCGGCCUAUCAGCUUGCUGGUGGGGUGAUGGCCUACCAAGGCGACGACGGGUAGCCGGCCUGGGAGGGGGACCGGCCACACUGGUACUGGGAUACGGCCCAGACUCCUACGGGAGGCAGCAGUGGGGAAUAUUGCACAAUGGGCGCAAGCCUGAUGCAGCGACGCCGCGUGAGGGAUGACGGCCUUCGGGUUGUAAACCUCUUUCAGCACCGACGAAGCGCAAGUGACGGUAGGUGCAGAAGAAGGACCGGCCAACUACGUGCCAGCCGCCGCCGUAA
rnacentral:rRNA from 1 species